AACAGGAUUAGAUACCCUGGUAGUCCAUGCCGUAAACGUUGGGAACUAGAUGUAGGGGCCAUUCCACGGCUUCUGUGUCGCAGCUAACGCAUUAAGUUCCCCGCCUGGGGAGUACGGCCGCAAGGCUAAAACUCAAAGGAAUUGACGGGGGCCCGCACAAGCGGCGGAGCAUGCGGAUUAAUUCGAUGCAACGCGAAGAACCUUACCAAGGCUUGACAUAUACCGGAAAUGGCUGGAAACAGUCCCCCCGCAAGGUCGGUAUACAGGUGGUGCAUGGUUGUCGUCAGCUCGUGUCGUGAGAUGUUGGGUUAAGUCCCGCAACGAGCGCAACCCUCGUUCUAUGUUGCCAGCACGUAAUGGUGGGAACUCAUAGGAGACUGCCGGGGUCAACUCGGAGGAAGGUGGGGAUGACGUCAAAUCAUCAUGCCCCUUAUGUCUUGGGCUUCACGCAUGCUACAAUGGCCGGUACAAAGGGCUGCAAUACCGUAAGGUGGAGCGAAUCCCAAAAAGCCGGUCUCAGUUCGGAUUGAGGUCUGCAACUCGACCUCAUGAAGUCGGAGUCGCUAGUAAUCGCAGAUCAGCAACGCUGCGGUGAAUACGUUCCCGGGCCUUGUACACGCCGCCCGUCAAGUCAUGAAAGUCGGUAACACCCGAAGCCAGUGGCCCAACCGCAAGGAGGGAGCUGUCGAAGGUGGGAUCGGUGAUUAGGACUAAGUCGUAACAAGGUAACC
rnacentral:rRNA from 1 species